rnacentral:rRNA from 1 species
AGUGAACGCUGGCGGUAGGCCUAACACAUGCAAGUCGAACGGCAGCACAGUAAGAGCUUGCUCUUACGGGUGGCGAGUGGCGGACGGGUGAGGAAUACAUCGGAAUCUACUUUUUCGUGGGGGAUAACGUAGGGAAACUUACGCUAAUACCGCAUACGACCUACGGGUGAAAGCAGGGGAUCUUCGGACCUUGCGCGAUUGAAUGAGCCGAUGUCGGAUUAGCUAGUUGGCGGGGUAAAGGCCCACCAAGUCGACGAUCCGUAGCUGGUCUGAGAGGAUGAUCAGCCACACUGGAACUGAGGCACGGUCCAGACUCCUACGGGAGGCAGCAGUGGGGAAUAUUGGACAAUGGGCGCAAGCCUGAUCCAGCCAUACCGCGUGGGUGAAGAAGGCCUUCGGGUUGUAAAGCCCUUUUGUUGGGAAAGAAAAGCAGCAGGUUAAUACCCCGCUGUUCUGACGGUACCCAAAGAAUAAGCACCGGCUAACUUCGUG